rnacentral:rRNA from 1 species
AGAGUUUGAUCCUGGCUCAGAAUCAACGCUGGCGGCGUGCCUCAGACAUGCAAGUCGAACGAGAAAUCCCGAGCAAUCGGGAGAGUAAAGUGGCGCACGGGUGAGUAACACGUAGGUAAUCUACCUUCGGGUGGGGAAUAACGCAGGGAAACUUGCGCUAACACCGCAUAAUGCAGCGGCACCACAUGGUGACAGUUGUUAAAGCGGGGGAUUUUCGGACCUCGCGCCUGAAGAGGAGCCUGCGGCAGAUUAGCUAGUUGGUAGGGUAACGGCUUACCAAGGCAACGAUCUGUAGCCGGCCUGAGAGGGCGGUCGGCCACACUGACACUGACAUACGGGUCAGACUCCUACGGGAGGCAGCAGUCGGGAAUUUUGGGCAAUGGGCGAAAGCCUGACCCAGCAACGCCGCGUGAAGGAUGAAAUCCCUCGGGAUGUAAACUUCGCAAGAAUGGGAAGAAUUAGCGAGCGCUAACACCGUUCGUGAUGACGGUACCAUUUUAGUUCCCGCC